ensembl:rRNA 5S_rRNA 5S ribosomal RNA
AUAUACAGCCAUAUUACCCUGCAGCCCAAGACCGGUUACUCCCUGAAGCCAAGCAGGGCUGAGCCUGGUUAGUACCUGGAUGGGAGACCACUAGGGAACACUAGGUUGCUGUUGGAA